rnacentral:misc_RNA from 1 species
UGGACACGGCUAUACGUAUAGUUUACACUCUGCAGAGGUGGCACUCCAGGAAUCCAUCCGGGCUGCAAGGCUAGUCCGCAACCAACCUGAGACACAGCCCACAGCAAAGACCCUAAACAGUAACGGCGCCAAUCCUGUCUCCCUGGGCUCGGGAAACAUCUGAUCUAACAUCUGCCCCAGGGAUGUGAAACCUUCCCACCGGGG